CAGGCCUAACACAUGCAAGUCGAACGAGGUUUGGUCAGUUUGCGGUGGUGCUUGCAUCACCAAUUACCGAUCAAACCGAGUGGCGGACGGGUGAGUAACACGUGGGUAACCUGCCCUUCAGCAGGGGAUAACAUUUGGAAACAGAUGCUAAUACCGUAUAACCACGGAGACCGCAUGGUCUCCGGGUAAAAGAUGGCGCAAGCUAUCACUGAAGGAUGGACCCGCGGCGUAUUAGCCAGUUGGUGGGGUAACGGCCUACCAAAGCGAUGAUACGUAGCCGACCUGAGAGGGUAAUCGGCCACAUUGGGACUGAGACACGGCCCAAACUCCUACGGGAGGCAGCAGUAGGGAAUCUUCCACAAUGGACGCAAGUCUGAUGGAGCAACGCCGCGUGAGUGAAGAAGGCUUUCGGGUCGUAAAACUCUGUUAUUGAAGAAGAACGUGUGUGACAGUAACUGGUCAUGCAGUGACGGUAUUCAAUCAGAAAGUCACGUCUAACUACGUGCCAGCAGCCGCGGUAAU
rnacentral:rRNA from 1 species